GAUGAACGCUGGCGGCGUGCCUAAUACAUGCAAGUCGAGCGAAUGGAUUAAGAGCUUGCUCUUAUGAAGUUAGCGGCGGACGGGUGAGUAACACGUGGGUAACCUGCCCAUAAGACUGGGAUAACUCCGGGAAACCGGGGCUAAUACCGGAUAACAUUUUGAACCGCAUGGUUCGAAAUUGAAAGGCGGCUUCGGCUGUCACUUAUGGAUGGACCUGCGUCGCAUUAGCUAGUUGGUGAGGUAACGGCUCACCAAGGCAACGAUGCGUAGCCGAACUGAGAGGGUGAUCGGCCACACUGGGACUGAGACACGGCCCAGACUCCUUCGGGAGGCAGCAGUAGGGAAUCUUCCGCAAUGGACGAAAGUCUGACGGAGCAACGCCGCGUGAGUGAUGAAGGCUUUCGGGUCGUAAAACUCUGUUGUUAGGGAAGAACAAGUGCUAGUUGAAUAAGCUGGCACCUUGACGGUACCUAACCAGAAAGCCACGGCUAACUACGUGCCAGCAGCCGCCGCCG
rnacentral:rRNA from 1 species